UAGGGAAUCUUCCACAAUGGACGCAAGUCUGAUGGAGCAACGGCCGCGUGAGUGAAGAAGGUUUUCGGACCGUAAAGCUCUGUUGUUGGUGAAGAAGGAUAGAGGUAGUAACUGGCCUUUAUUUGACGGUAAUCAACCAGAAAGUCACGGCUAACUACGUGCCAGCAGCCGCGGUAAUACGUAGGUGGCAAGCGUUGUCCGGAUUUAUUGGGCGUAAAGCGAGCGCAGGCGGAAGAAUAAGUCUGAUGUGAAAGCCCUCGGCUUAACCGAGGAAUUGCAUCGGAAACUGUUUUCUUGAGUGCAGAAGAGGAGAGUAGAAACUCCAUGUGUAGCGGUGGAAUGCGUAGAUAUAUGGAAGAAUACCAGUGGCGAAGGCGGCUCUCUGGUCUGCAACUGACGCUGAGGCUCGAAAGCAUGGGUAGCGAACAGGAUUAGAUACCCUGGUAGUCCAUGCCGUAAACGAUGAGUGCUAAGUGUUGGGAGGCUUCCGCCUCUCAGUGCUGCAGCUAACGCAUUAAGCACUCCGCCUGGGGAGUACGACCGCAAGGUUGAA
rnacentral:rRNA from 1 species